CACAUCUACUUACCGGCAGGGGGGCGUGUCGCGUAGUCAUGUUCCCCGGUACCUCUCCGGUCCGUUCGUGUUUUGUCCUCUCCUUCAGCUUUUCGAGCUGACACCCGUUUAUACACGGGUGUUUUUUUCGGGGCUGUGGUGUAGCUGUUCCAGUCAAAACGACUAGGAACAGCUCCAGUAUUCAGCGUAGCACUCCGUCGUCAUAAUCAGCCGCUGAGAAAUGCCGACUACAGACCAGUGUACUCCCCUUCUGAAUUACGAAAUUAACUCCUUCAUUCCGUCUGAUCGCCACUGCUGUAUUGGGUAUUAUUUGGGAAGUCGUGGACAUGUAAAUACGGUUGUUUUUGUUUUGAAUUGGCGCAUAGAGGUACACAACAGAAGCUUUUGUUUUUUGACCGCGCCAUUGUCAAAUAUGGACUACGCGACCGGAAGUCACUUUACCCGGUGAAGGCAAAAUCGAACGCCGAACCAGGAAGUUGUGAGAUAGGCCUAUUGAAGACCGGAAGAAGCUCGCGGAGUAGGGUAACUGCUCUUCCGCUUAGCUUAGCUAAGCUGUUUACCAUGGCGGAGGCAGAUCAAUACCUUUGGACCAAGUCUCUCCAACCUACCUAAAUUGUCCUACGACGACGUCCUAAGGAUAGUAAAUCAGCACUUACGUGUCGAAACAUCUAAACUACGCAAAGGAUAUAAGUUAUUCUGGGAGAAGUACAUUUUUAAUUACAUAGACACAUGACAACCACUUCACAGGGGAGAAAAGCGUGCCAACACCUCUGUCGUGCACCAGUGUUCUGCAGACGUGGACCAAGGACACAGGGGAUUCGCUCCAGGGGAUUCGCCCGGAACCCAUUGACCAACUUGUGGUCAGGAAACCCAAGGUUUGGGUUAGGUGUUUUAUUUGAGCACAUACAUGGACACAUACCUCCUGAAUGCCAAGUAAAUAUGGCCGAGGGAUACACACACCCCAUUCCAUUUAUUUAUUUCUGUUAAAUGUAUAUAUGUAAAUAUUUUAAUCAAAGAAUUGGAAACGAACAUUCCUGAACAUUUGUUUUAAGGUAACACACUCUGAGCACCUUUAAAACAAGCCUGAAGACUUUUAUGUUUGCAUUAGCUUUCUGCUACAUCUUAAAUACAUUGCACUUUCUAAAAAGCUUUUUUAACUUUGCCUUUAUUUUCUAUUUUAAUACUAAAAUGCCUUUAACUUUCUAUUUUACUCAUUUCUCUGCAUAUGUUUUCUUUUACUUAUCUAUUUUAUUGUAUGACAAUGUUUAUAUGUGAAGCACUUUGAGUCUUCCCUUGUGUAUGAAAAGUGCUAAAUAAAGUUGCAUUGCCUAACACACAGAACAUUUCAUUUCUUUCUGUUAAAUGUAAAUAUGUAUAUAUGUAAAUUUAAAAAAAAGAACUGGAAACAAACAUUAAAUAAACAUUUGAAAAGGACGGACGGACACAAACACACACACCAUUUUAAUUUCUUUCUGCUAAAUGUAAACAAAGAACAUUAAUAAACGUUUGAAAAUAGUCAUGUGACGUCAUGUGUGUUUUAAUGUGUAACACUGGGACAUCACCCUUAACAUCUAAAGGACCUUGAUAGUUA
ensembl:lncRNA